GUCAGUAGCAUUCUUGAGAAAAAAUAUCAGAAAUUUGACAUCAUAUUUUCAAGAGGGAAGUUCUAGAGAUAGUUUUGGUUUAUCCUGCUUGGGGGUCAUUUAUCAUCACUAUCUUUACUACCAUUGUGAUCUUCACUUAUAUCUUCCUAUCCAGAGCUACUUCAUAUCAUCCAUCGCUGCUAUUUGUGCUUUGACGUGACUCCGUUAGUGUUCUAGGCUCGCGUUUCUAGUACGAUCUAGCCUAGGACCAGCACAGUACCGUCGUUGAGCGUUUAUUGAACAUUGCAUCUCUGAAUUGAUUAUUGCUAAUCUUUUGCUACCAUAUAUUAUAAGCCGUCCCAGCUCCACAUACAUCUACAUCGUGUGUUUGACGACACCUGGCAAUCGCUAUAUCCAAGCUUUGAGAGUUUUGACUACACCGGUUGCCGAUCACCACCUGCUGCUGGGUAAGAACUGGUAAGAAUUUGAGAUUGGCUUGACGGAUUUGUGAAACACCACCACCACCACUUCCUAGUAGUUCAUAGGAACAAUAUUUUUGGAUUUUGUUUUUUUUACUAGUCAUGACAGGAUCCAGAGUUGUCAACCCAUGGGCUUCUCCGAUUGUGAGAGACGUUCCACCAAAACAACCGUUACGAGAGGUGCAUAGAGAUCCACAUGCGCAUGAUCAGGUUAGUGUUUCUAUACCAUCAUUUAAUGGUCGUUUUAGACCUGCUUUAUAUAUUGAAUGGGAAUUUGAAAUAAAUGAUAUAUUUGCUUCCCAUAAUUUUGCUGAACAAAAGAAAAUUACGGUCGCGGUUGGUUCUUUCACCGGCUAUGCUUCAGUUUGGUGGAGUGGAUGUUAUCGGUUACACCCUGAUUAUAUACCUACUACUUGGGAUGAUUUGAAACUUGCCAUGAGACAUACAUUCGUUCCUGCUUAUUAUACUCGUGAUAUGAUUAAAAAGUUACAACAUUUAAAACAAGGUAGCGACACCGUGACAAAAUAUUAUGAUGAUUUACAAAGAACCUUGUUGCAUUCCUCAUUAGUAGAAAGUGAAGAAGAUUUUAUGGAUAGAUUUUGGGGAGGAUUAAACCAUGAUAUUCGGGAGAUACUAAUUCAUGAAAAGUGUUAUCAUAUGGAUCGUUUGUUUCGUCUUGCUUGCAAAGCUGCACAGGAAAUAAAACAACGUGUAGCCCACAAGGAGAAAGAGUGCAAGGUGCUUAUUCCAAGAGUUGAUAUGGUUGUUCCUUCAACUACUGGGCGUACGAUGACGACCACAUCAACUGUUGCGAGGGUUAUAUCACCUUCACCAUGUGACACGUUACCAUCGAGAGUGGCUACAUCAUCUAAGUUGAUCAUAAGAGGUAAUGACAAAGGUACUUGUCUUCUACUUCCACAUGAGUAUGAUGAAUGCCUUAUCAAUUGCAAUGUACCAUGUGAUGAGCUACCUAUUACUUUGAUCACAUCACCUAUUUUAGAGAACUACGUUCAUGAUUUGACUUUGUCGUGUGAUCAAACAACUACAAUAUCAACAAUUUUAAGUGCACCCAUUGAAUUAACUAUUGUUGAGAAAGAACCAUGUGAACAAGGGAAUAAAUCAAAUUUGAAUCAAAUAUGUUUGAAAAUAAUUGAGCCAAUGUUUAAUCAUUUUGAUAUGACCUCCAAUCUUGGUGAUGAUUCUAUGUCAAAUGACAUGUUGCAUGUUUGCUUAUUUCAGCCUGUUGUAGCAUUUAAUUUGAAACAAUUCAAGUUUCUUCACCGAUGUUGGAAUGGUUUAGUGAUGAGCAUUGUCAACCUUUUGAUGUAAAUAAAAGCUUCACUUAUAUGUGCAAACUGAGUUGCAAUAUUUUCAUGCGUUCUACCUUCUGUGAUAAUAUUUUGGCUUUAUAUUUCAUAACAUCUGAAAGUUACUCAUGUAUACAUGUGUCAUAUGUGCAAAAACCAAGGAAGUAAAAAUAGAUCACAUAUACAACAUGUACACCUUGUCUCUUUUGUUAGCCAAAUUUCAGAUUAAGCAGCGCCGAGGACGGCUUUAUUUUCAAAAAGGGAAGGAUGAUGAGGACAUGACUACCUUUGAUAUUAUCACAAUCAUUGCAUAUGCGUAUUUAUUUGAGGUGAUUUCUGAUAAAACUCAUGCAAUAAUUUAUUUAUGUUAUCCGAAACAAAAAUACUUCACCUGUUUUUAUUUUAUGCCUAAAUGCAGAAUGGUCGAACACUUGAAACACAUGUGAUGACAAGGGAAGAGGAAAUGGUUGGAUGCUAUUCAAGAGGUCCUCUCAUGUCAAAGGAGAUAAUUAGUUGUUGUUCAAGAAGUUCUCUCACGUCACUUUUAGCCCAAGAGAAGAUAGAGUCCAAGUCUUUCACGUUCUGGACUCAGAUUCGGACUGCACAGACAUACCUGUACCAAAACGCCUUUAACUUUUUCAUCUGGACUCCGAAUUGCGUGAUUCUUUUUGGGCUGCAAAGUAUAUUUUAUGUGCUUUCAGGCCCAAUUGGAAUCACCUUCAAAUUCGUCCUGAGCGUAGAGAUAUCGACCAAACAAUAUGACGUUGCACCAGAAUCCAAGUCAAACAACAAGUCCAAAGGUGUUGCACCACCUCCAAUUGGGCCCAUAGGCCUUGUACGACCUAGGGUUAGUUUUAGGCUGCCUUGGAAUGUCCUCCCACCUCCUUGGCCGCCAUCCCUUGCUCCUAUAUAAGUAGAUCAACCUAGUAGCUUUUUGCUUGGGAUUUGUUUAGUUAAAAGUUAGCCAUUGCAACUUCGUGUACUUCAUUUGUGUCCAACGACCAGACUAAGACCGCUUUCGGAUCCCCACCCUUAUCAAUACUUCAUCUAUAUUCGCAAUAUUCAGAUUGCUUUUAUCAUAUACUUGCUUGUUCUUCGAUUGCUUGCAUGAAGAGACCUUCGUGGUCAGGUUGAUCAUGCUCCGGCGUGGUCAAUAACCUCUUGGAGUUGGUUUAGCGAUUGCUAAGGCGCAACGUCGUGCAUGUUUGUAGUCAGAUCGUCAAAGUCAUCUCCACCAAAUCGAUAGCCACCAUCUCAUCGAAAGAUCGGGACACCCUCGCCUCUAUCAAGUGCUAUAUCACCAUGGCAGCAGAAGAUCAUGGUGAAGCUUCUCGGGCUUCGUUACCAGAUUGUCUAUAAGAAAGGGGCAGAUAACAAAGCGGUUGAUGCUCUGCCUCGGCAACCUGGACCAACACAAGGUGACCUGGCCACAAUCACCACAGCCGUGCCUGCAUGGUUCGCAGAUGUCCAAAAGGGCUACCUGGAUGACCCUCGAGCUCAGCGCCUGCUUACCCAACUCUCUGCUUCGCCCAUUUCAGCUUCAGGAUGGUGUUAUCAAGCAACACGCCCACUAGGAGACAAUGUGGACCUCCAAAACAGAUUCUCAAUGCCCUUCACACUGGCGCCAUUGGCAGGCACUCUGGUUCCAACGCCACGUAUCGCCGAGUCUGCCGUUUGUUCACCUGGCCCGGGCUCAAACACCACGUUAAGCUGUUCGUGGACUCUUGCCAGACAUGCAAACAAGCGAAGCCGAAGAGAGUUCAUUACCCCGGUUUACUGGAGCCUCUACCUGUUCCUACUCAGGCUUCGCAAAUGAUCUCCAUGGACUUUGUUGAGGGCCUCCCACGUUCCUCGAGCGCCAACUCUAUCUUGCUGGUGGUCGACAAGUUCUUUCGGUGCGCGCACUUUAUCUCUUUGUCACACCCCUUCACAGCCUUCCAAGUGACACAGGCCUUCGUCGCCAACAUCUACAAGCUGCACGGCCUGCCGAAAUCGAUCAUCUCCGACCGUGAUCCAGUCUUCACUAGCACACUGUGGCAGGAGCUGUUUCGACUCACUCACACCAAGUUGCGCAUGAGUACUGCCCGACUCCCGCAGAUGGAUGACCAGACGGAGCGAGUGAAUCAGUACAUGGAGACCUUUCUAUGAUGCUUCGUCAACUCCUGCCCGAGCAAAUGGAGCACUUGGCUGCCUCUUGCGGAGUUUUGGUACAACACGUCGCCUCACUACUCUCGGGACAACUCCGUUCGAGGUGUUGUACGGCCAUGCGUCGCGGUUCUUCGGGAUUGUGGAUCCCGUCACAUGCACCUCUCGGAUCUGUCUAAAUGGCUGGCGGACCGCGUGCAGAUGGAGGCACUGGUGCGUCAACACCUGCUGCGUGCACAUCAACGGAUGAAGGACUCAGUGGACAAGCGUCGUUCCGAUCGCUCUUUCUCCAUGGAUGAUCGCUUUUUCUCCAUGGAUGACUGGGUCUUCUUGAAGCUUCAGCCGUAUGUGCAACGUUCAGUGGCGACUCGCACCAACCAGAAGCUGGCUUUCCGUUGCUUCGGCCCAUUCAAGAUUCUGGAACGCAUUGGCGCUGUCGCCUACAAGCACCAACUCCCGCAGGCCAGUACAAUUCACCCUGUCUUCCAUGUGUCCCAGCUUCGUCGGGCACUCCCUCCCAUGGAACAAGCCCAGCAACAACUGUCGUCCACAGGUCUUGGUGAGCUGGACGGACCAACCUGCCGAGUUUGCGGCCUGGGAGGACAGCAUCGAGCUCCGGCAACACUUCCCGGCGACACCAGCUUGGGGGUUGUUAAGCUUCAUGUACUAGCCAACGCAACCAAAAGUCAGAACUAAUGAAAAAGGCUAGGCAAUCCACAUAUGCACUUCAACAUCCCCUCUCACGUGUGACACGGAAAUUAAACACGUGGACAGACUCAGAGGUAUGGCUCAAGAGGCCUAUACGUGGACAAAGGGGGCAGCAGCAAUUUUUUAGAUAAACUACGAAAGACAGGACUUGAACUCAAGACCUUAGGCUCUGAUACCAUGUUAAGCUUCAUGCACUAGACAACGCAACCAAAAGUCAGGACUGAUGGAAAGGGUUAGGCAAUCCAACAGGGGCAAGCUGUGUCUCAAGGACGAGGGAGUGUUACGCCACCUACCUCUGGGCCCCCAACUGCAGGCAUCCCUGGCGACCCAGCGGCGCCAACCGACGCAGCCCUGGAAAGGCCGUGAUGCCAAGUGAAGCCCAAUAGCCGCUACCUGGCCCAAGUGUGGGAUACCACCGCGACGCCAAGAGGCAGGCAGUAACGAGAACCCGACGGCGGCGGCGAUCCUCUUCCCCUCAACCCUCUGUUGUUCCCUCUGAACCCUAGUUCCCGGUUGUAAUCCUUGUAAUCCGAGUGAAUUCAAGUGCCGAGGAAGUGGGAUCAUAACAGAUUCUUAUGUGUGCGGCUCUUAGGACUGUACCUACAGGUGCAAUUCCAACGCUUCUCCUUCCUAUCAACACUAUUCCAACGCUUCUCCUUCCUAUCAACACUAUUCAAGCUUUUUCUGGACAGGUCAAGGCCACGUUAAUGGUGGGCAAUGCAAGGUUACUUGGGAUGCGAUGUGUCCAUUCACAAAAGAUGGUCUAGGGUUCAAAUACCUUCGUACUCAUAAUAUAUGCCUCCUCCUUAAACAACUUGCUGAAACUGGGCCCGGUUCUUCUACUUGGGAAUUUCGAUUCAGUUCUAUGUACAGUUGAACCAACUCCAGAGAUCUCGGGGACCCAAAUCACCUAGACGUUGUUGUGUGGAAAGAUGUCUCGUGAUCUGAGCUUCUUUCGCCAGGUAACUAAAGUCAUGAUUGGCAAUGCCACUUCACGCUUCCUGAUGUCGUUUUCUCACUAUAAGAGGUUGAAUACUUCCGUCACUAGGGUGCUCGGCUCCUCUUUGUUGGUCCUCGACUUACAACCUAGGAUCUCCUCCACUGCCGAGAACAGACUUACCUCGUUAUUCUUGAUGUUGGCCACCAUAAUCUUGAAUUCAUGGGUGGAAGACACCCGCAUGGGAAAAUUAGAUGGGAAGACUCCCUCCUCGAGAUUGGCAUAUACCGCAGCCUUGCAAACAGGCCGAUUGACUCAUGGGUCAUGGCGGUUUGGAAGAACUAUGCACUAAUAAAUGCAUCACAUUCCUUUGGUUGGUAUUCAAAAAUAGGUUAUUCACAAACAGUGUUCAAGAA
rnacentral:lncRNA from 1 species